UCUGGUGUGGCUAUGAAAAUAAUGCAAACAUAAUCAAUUACGCAGACAAUAAUGACUGGCCAUUUCAAUCAAGACCAAGAGAUCUCUUACCAGCAAUGUUAUGAUUGUGCUACUCAAAUCCAAAAUAAGUCACAAAGCUUGUUCACAAAAGCAACAAAUCAAGAAUCAACCGAUGGGAUGCAAUUUGAAAGGAAAUUAAUAAAAUGAAGAGAAAGAAAACAACAUCAAUGAAAUGAAGGUAAUUAACUAAACUAAGAUGUUGUUUGGUUCAGUGAAACGUAACGUUAUUUAAUUAUAGCGACAACUGAUUACAUUGUAU
rnacentral:lncRNA from 1 species